rnacentral:rRNA from 1 species
UACGUAGGGGGGCAAGCGUUUGUCCGGAUUUAUUGGGCGUAAAGAGCGUGUAGGCGGCCAAGCAGGUCCGCUGUGAAAACUCGAGGCUCAACCUCGAGAGGUCGGUGGAAACCGUUUGGCUAGAGUCCGGAAGAGGAGAGUGGAAUUCCCGGUGUAGCGGUGAAAUGCGCAGAUAUCGGGAAGAACACCCGUGGCGAAGGCGGCUCUCUGGGACGGUACUGACGCUGAGACGCGGAAAAGCGU